rnacentral:lncRNA from 1 species
UGUGCUUCUAUGAUCUUUAAGGACCUUUCCUACCCAACCCAUACUAUGAUUCUGUGAUCUUUAAGGACCCUUCCAACUCAACCAUUCCGUGGUCUUUAAGGGCCCUUCAAAUCCAACCUGUUCUAUGGGUCUUUAAGGAUGCUUCCAACCUAAACUAUCAUAGGGUUCUGUGAUUCUGUGAUCGUUAAGGACCCUUCCAACUCAACCAUUCUGCGCUUCUAUGAUCUUUAAGGACCUUUCCUACCCAACCCAUCCUAUGAUUCUGUGAU